GGUGGUAAUUGGAAAACUCCUGUUCAUCACAUUGCAUUUUACAUAAUGAGAAACAAAACAGAGUCAGCAUGGAUUUUGGAGAUUUGUGUGAUGGUUAUCUUUCUGACGUCAUGACAAAUCUAAGAACAUAAAGGAAGGAGGUAUAUUUUAAUUUUUACCUCAGUGUUUCAAAGGUUUUGGACUAUGCAUACAUGGACCCAUUGCUUGGCCCUGUGGUGAGGUACAACAGACCAGGAAGAAAAUUGUGGCAGAGCUGAGCUGCCCAUCUCAUGACCAUUAAGGAGAAAGAGGAGUAAGGGUAAAUAGAAAGAUAGAUAGAUAGAUAGAUAGAUAGAUAGAUAGAUAGAUAGAUAGAUACAUAGAUAGAUAGGUAGAUAGAUAGAUAGAUAGAUAGAUAGAUAGAUAGAUAGAUAGAUAGAUAGAUAGAUAGAUAGGUAGAUAGGUAGGUAGGUAGGUAGAUAGAUAGAUAGAUAGAUAGAUAGAUAGAUAGAUAGAUAGAUAGAGCUUUUAACUGCAUUCCUCUAGUGACCUAAGACAUUUUUGCAUCUAAGAAAAGAUCGCACCUUUGCAAAAUGGAAGGAAACAUGACUUAUUACUAGGAGAAAAAUUAAUCACUAGAAACCAACCUGUUUCUGAGACUUGAGCUAUGACGUUAAACGUGUGACUGCAGCAUGUACCUCAAUUAAUUUGUAGAAAUGAUGAGACAUGCGAAGAUUCAAAUCAAGCUUCCAGAGUAGAAACUGCAGUGAUGAGAACUAUUUCACUGUAUGUAACAGCAGAUUGGAUGCUCCAGGAGGAAAGGUUAAUACAUUUGAAAAUAAUAUUCAAAAGGAGCACACAAAAAAUGAGAACAAGAUAUGAGCUGAGGAAAUGGAUAUGGUCAAAUAUUCAAUUGAAUAUUGCAACACAGAAUUUUAAUAUUUAAAUUUCUUCAAAGGCUAACUAACUGUUUAUAACAAAAUUUCCAAAAUUCUACCUUCUCAGCCUAUCCUUUUUUUUUUUUUUUUAGCUUGGUUUAUUUUUAAAACUGUUCAGUCUUCUCCAUUGACAACAUCCACCCUCAGGCGUUUCUGGAUCUUUCCUUAGAAUUAGGACUAUAUUUUCCAGGUCCAACCCCUUCCAAGGGCAGCUGAAAUAUACUAAUUAGUGUAUAUUUACCUGCAACACUGAAACAACAGAUUUUUUUCUGUUGUGGUUUUCUUUGGGUUUGUCUGUUUGUUUUUGAAAAGUGGUGGUCCUUUCAAACUGUUCUGCUUACCAUAGGCAAAAAUUGAUAUUUAGGUAGAUAAACAGGUACUGGCAAACUCUGAAAUUUUCUGACCUAUCCCAGGUGCCUGAUUUUGAGAGUUCCCACCUCUCUUCAGUCAGUAGAGGUACAAUCCAGUGACUGCACGGCUGGUCAUUAGGGGGCACUGCUGAUCCACUGUGUGAGCUGUGGGCAGUGGUAAACAAGAUGGUUAUGAGUUUUGCUCUGUAGCCUACAGAAAGGUGUUAGCUGUGGAACCAGAAAGAGUUUUGGCUCAGGAAGCACCUGGCUGGGAGAUGUGGUCAAUCAUCUAUGCACACACACACUGUGGGUCAGCAUAGGGAGCGUGAUUUGAAGAUUUGAACUGUAGCUUUGGCAAUCCAAAGGCCUCUGAAGUGAGGAGAAGAGAAGGAAGCAAGGCUCAGAGAAAAGCACGGCUUCCCCAUACCCAGCCCUAUUUAUUCUCAUCAGCCAUCUUCCCUUCUACUGAGCAGGCGGAGACUAAAAAGGAAAGGCUUGAGACUAGGUGCACUAGUACAGAGAGCCUAUGGGAGUAGCCACAUAACAGGUCACUGACCUCAGAACCUGACAUCACAGGCAAUGAGAUAAAAGAAGGCAAGAGAAAGGAAGGGCUGACUAGUGCUCUCUCCCCAAAGAGAUCAGUAUCCUGAGAAGGAUGUCAAACACUGCCCUCUCUAACUCUGCCUGGAUUACCAGUCUGCUGUCUUGGGUUGCUGUCUUUCUCCUGGGUACAAAACACAUGGAGGCUGCAGUCACCCAAAGCCCAAGAAACAGGGUGGCAGUAACAGGAGGAGAGGUGACAUUGAGCUGUCGCCAGACUAAUAACCAUGACUACAUGUACUGGUAUCGACAGAACAUGGGGGAUGAACUGAGGCUGAUCCAUUACUCAUAUGAUGUUAACCGCACUGAGAAAGGAGAUGUCUCCAGUGGGUACAAGGCCUCAAGACCAAGCCAAGAGGACUUCUCUCUCAUUCUGGAGUCAGCUUCUCUCUCUCAGACGGCUGUGUACUUCUGUGCCAGCAGUGAUGCACAGCAGUGCAUGGCCUCCUCCCCUCUGCACAUAAAGCAAAUAGGGAAAACUAGUUGCCUGUGUGCCCUAGGAAGUCCCUGCCUCUCUAAGAGUCACUGAGUUCUGACAAACUAGGAACCUCACAGCAUGAGUCUCAACCUUACUAAAGUUUAUUUUGAC